rnacentral:rRNA from 1 species
UACGGAGGGUGCAAGCGUUAUCCGGAUUCACUGGGUUUAAAGGGUGCGUAGGAGGGCAGGUAAGUCAGUGGUGAAGUCUCCGGGCUUAACUCGGAAACUGCCGUUGAUACUAUCUGUCUUGAAUACCGUGGAGGUGAGCGGAAUAUGCGAUGUAGCGGUGGAAUGCUUAGAUAUGACAUAGAACACCAAUUGCGAAGGCAGCUCACUACACGCAUAUUGACUCUGAGGCACGAAAGCGUGGGGAUCAAACAGG